rnacentral:tRNA from 1 species
AGAAAUUUAGGAUAACAA